UCCGAUUUGUCACCGGCAGUCUCCCAUGAGUCCCCGUCUUUCACGCUGGCAACAUGGGACAGGGGUUGCGCUCGUUGCGGGACUUAACCCUACAUCUCACGACACGAGCUGACGACAGCCAUGCACCACCUGCGAAGAUGCCCCGAAGGGAAGACGUGUUUCCACGUCGGUCAUCCACAUGUCAAGCCCAGGUAAGGUUCUUCGCGUUGCGUCGAAUUAAACCACAUGCUCCACCGCUUGUGCGGGCCCCCGCCUAUUCCUUUGAGUUUUAGCCUUGCGGCCGUACUCCCCAGGCGGGAUGCUUAAUGCGUUAGCUUCGGCACAGCAGGGGUCGAUACCCGCUACACCAAGCAUCCAUCGUUUACAGCUAGGACUAC
rnacentral:misc_RNA from 1 species